rnacentral:snRNA from 1 species
AUACCUUUCUCGGCCUUUUGGCUAAGAUCAAGUUUAGUAUCUGUUUUUAUCAGUUUAAUAUCUGAUACGUGGGUCAUUGGCUCACAUGAUAUUAACUCAAUUUGUUUAGGGGGAAGACUCAUUAAAGUAGCUUGCUACUCGGACCUUAAAUUGUCAACUUGGGCCUUAAAUUGUCGCCUUGGUAUUGCACUAUUACCUUGGCCUGGCACACCCCAC